rnacentral:rRNA from 1 species
AGUACGGCCGCAAGGUUAAAACUCAAAGGAAUUGACGGGGACCCGCACAAGCGGUGGAUUAUGUGGAUUAAUUCGAUGCAACGCGAAAAACCUUACCUACCCUUGACAUGUAUGGAACCCUCCAGAGAUGGAGGGGUGCCCGAAAGGGAGCCGUAACACAGGUGCUGCAUGGCUGUCGUCAGCUCGUGUCGUGAGAUGUUGGGUUAAGUCCCGCAACGAGCGCAACCCUUGCCAUUAGUUGCUACAUUCAGUUGGGCACUCUAAUGGGACUGCCGGUGACAAACCGGAGGAAGGUGGGGAUGACGUCAAGUCCUCAUGGCCCUUAUGGGUAGGGCUUCACACGUAAUACAAUGGCCGGUACAGAGGGCAGCCAACCCGCGAGGGGGAGCUAAUCCCAGAAAGCCGGUCGUAGUCCGGAUUGUAGUCUGCAACUCGACUGCAUGAAGCCGGAAUCGCUAGUAAUCGCGGAUCAGCAUGUCGCGGUGAAUACGUUCCCGGGUCUUGUACACACCGCCCGUCACACCAUGGGAGUGGGUUCCACCAGAAGUAGUUAGCCUAACCGCA